rnacentral:rRNA from 1 species
UCAAGCAUUGAGGUUGGGUUGUAGUGAAGUACGCAAUCCUAUAAGCUGAGAUGUGAUGCGGACCGAAAUUUCAGUAGGGAAGCGAGUGAGUUCACGCUGGCGAGAAAAGCUGCUAGUACAUCCAAAGGUACCCGUACCGGAAACCGACGCAGGUGGGCGAGGAGAGAAUCCUGAGACGAACGGGAGAACCCUUGCUAAGGAACUCGGCAAAAUGACCCCGUAACUUCGGGAUAAGGGGUGCCUGCGAGAGCAGGCCGCAGAGAAUAGUCACAAGCGACUGUUUAGCAAAAACACAGGUAUCUGCGAAAGCGAGAGCUGACGUAUAGGUGCUGACACCUGCCCGGUGCUGGAAGGUUAAGGGAACAUGUUAGAGCAAUCGAAGCAUCGAACCGAAGCCCCAGUAAACGGCGGCCGUAACAAUAACGGUCCUAAGGUAGCGAAAUUCCUUGUCGGGUAAGUUCCGACCCGCACGAAUGGUGUAACGACUUGUGAGCUGUCUCAACAGGGGGCCCGGUGAAAUUGAAGUAUGGGUGAAGAUGCCCAUUACCCGCGACUGGACGGAAAGACCCCGUAGAGCUUUACUGCAGCCUGAUAUUGAGUUUCGGUAACUGAUGCACAGGAUAGGUGGGAGUCUGAGAGACAUGGGUUUCGGCUCAUGUGGAGACGGUGUUGGGAUACCACUCUUCGGUUACUGAAAUUCUAACAUAGCUCUGUGAAACCAGAGGAUGGACAGUGUCAGGUGGACAGUUUGACUGGGGCGGUCGCCUCCGAAAGAGUAACGGAGGCGCCCAAAGGUACCCUCAGAAUGGAUGGAAACCAUUCGAAGAGCGCAAAGGCAGAAGGGUGCCUGACUGCGAGAUUGACAAAUCGAGCAGAGACGAAAGUCGGACUUAGUGAUCCGGCGGUAUUGAGUGGAAAAGCCGUCGCUUAACGGAUAAAAGCUACCUCGGGGAUAACAGGCUGAUCUCCCCCAAGAGUCCACAUCGACGGGGAGGUUUGGCACCUCGAUGUCGGCUCGUCGCAUCCUGGGGCUGAAGCAGGUCCCAAGGGUUUGGCUGUUCGCCAAUUAAAGCGGCACGCGAGCUGGGUUCAGAACGUCGUGAGACAGCUCGGUCCCUAUCCAUCGUGGGCGUAGGAGUCAUGAGAGGAGCUGUUCCUAGUACGAGAGGACCGGAAUGGACGCACCACUGGUGCAACUGUUGUCGUGCCAACGGCAUAGCAGGGAAGCGAAGUGCGGAUGGGAUAAACGCUGAAGGCAUCUAAGCGUGAAGCCCACCUCAAGAAUAAGACUCCACAAUAGACCCCUGGAGGACUACCAGGUAGAUAGGUCAUCGGUGGAAGCGCUGUAAGGCGUGUAGCUUGAUGAUACUAAUCGGUCGAAAGCUC